rnacentral:rRNA from 1 species
GGAUGAGAUGGGCGAAAGCCUGACGCAGCAACGCCGCGUGCGGGAUGAAGGCCUUCGGGUUGUAAACCGCUUUCAGUGGGGACGAAAUUGACGGUACCCACAGAAGAAGCCCCGGCUAACUACGUGCCAGCAGCCGCGGUAACACGUAGGGGGCAAGCGUUGUCCGGAUUUAUUGGGCGUAAAGAGCUCGUAGGCGGUUCGGUAAGUCGGGUGUGAAAACUCAGGGCUCAACCCUGAGACGCCACCCGAU